AUCCGUCUGUGGUUCACACUAUGGUGACUGGGUGAUCACUCCUGUGUGGGAGGCGCCUCCCUCAAACCUUGUUACCUCGUCCACACCUUCCCCGGCUGACA